CGUUAGCACGCAAUAGUGAUGGAAGUGGAAAUCCCGGACCCCGAAUAUUCGGGGGAGGAAUUGCAACGGACAGCCCGGCUUUUU
rnacentral:misc_RNA from 1 species